GCGAACGCUGGCGGCAGGCUUAACACAUGCAAGUCGAGCGGGCAUCUUCGGAUGUCAGCGGCAGACGGGUGAGUAACACGUGGGAACGUACCCUUCGGUUCGGAACAACUCUGGGAAACUGGAGCUAAUACCGGAUACGCCCUUAUGGGGAAAGGUUUACUGCCGAAGGAUCGGCCCGCGUCUGAUUAGCUAGUUGGUGGGGUAACGGCCUACCAAGGCGACGAUCAGUAGCUGGUCUGAGAGGAUGAUCAGCCACACUGGGACUGAGACACGGCCCAGACUCCUACGGGAGGCAGCAGCGGGGAAUAUUGGACAAUGGGCGCAAGCCUGAUCCAGCCAUGCCGCGUGAGUGAUGAAGGCCUUAGGGUUGUAAAGCUCUUUUGUCCGGGACGAUAAUGACGGUACCGGAAGAAUAAGCCCCGGCUAACUUCGUG
rnacentral:rRNA from 1 species